CGCGGUGAACUUAAGCCCCAGUAAACGGCGGUGGUAACUAUAACCAUCCUAAGGUAGCGAAAUUCCUUGUCGGGUAAGUUCCGACCCGCACGAAAGGCGUAAUGAUUUGGAUACUGUCUCAGAGAGGGGCUCGGUGAAAUAGACUUGUCUGUGAAGAUGCGGACUACCUGCACCAGGACAGAAAGACCCUAUGAAGCUUUACUGUAGCUUGAAAUUGAAAUUGGACUUUAUUCGCGCAGCAUAGGUGGGAAGCUUUGACGAUAAUCUUGCGGGAAUAUCUGAGCUAUCAGUGAGAUACCACUCUUGUAAUGUUAGAUUUCUAACUA
rnacentral:rRNA from 1 species